rnacentral:rRNA from 1 species
UACGGAGGGUGCAAACGUUGCUCGGAAUUAUUGGGCGUAAAGCGCACGUAGGCGGCUUUGCAAGUCGGAUGUGAAAUCCCUCGGCUUAACCAAGGAAGUGCAUCCGAAACUGCAGAGCUUGAGUACAGAAGAGGAAAGCGGAAUUCCACGUGUAGCGGUGAAAUGCGUAGAGAUGUGGAGGAACACCAGUGGCGAAGGCGGCUUUCUGGUCUGUAACUGACGCUGAGGCGCGAAAGCGUGGGGGAGCAAACAGG